rnacentral:rRNA from 1 species
AAUAGUUUUUUAAAUGGAAACUGGGAUGAAUGAAGUGAUGAGAUUUAAACUGUCUUAAAUUAAGUUAUUGAAUUUAUUAAUUAAGUAAGAAUACUUAAAUAAUUACAUGGGACGAGAAGACCCUAUAGAAUUUGAUAUAGAUUAAAUAAAAAUUUUAAUAGUGAAUUUAUUUAAUUUAUAUUUUAUUGGGAGGAUAGUUAAAUCAAUAAAACUUUAAUAAUAAAAUAUCAUUAAUUUAUGAAUUAAAAGAUAAAGAAUGGCUAAGUAAUGUUUAAUUAGAAUUAAUUACCUUAGGGAUAACAGCGUUAUAUUUUUAGAGAGAUCUUAUUAAUAAAAAUGUUUGC